GCUUACACAUGCAAGUCGAGCGGGCGUACAAUACGGUCAGCGGCAGACGGGUGAGUAACGCGUGGGAACAUACCUUUUGGUUCGGAACAACACAGGAAACUUGUGCUAAUACCGGAUAAGCCCUUACGGGGAAAGAUUUAUCGCCGAAAGAUUGGCCCGCGUCUGAUUAGCUAGUUGGUGAGGUAACGGCUCACCAAGGCGACGAUCAGUAGCUGGUCUGAGAGGAUGAUCAGCCACAUUGGGACUGAGACACGGCCAAACUCCUACGGGAGGCAGCAGUGGGGAAUAUUGGGACAAUGGGCGCAAGCCUGAUCCAGCCAUGCCGCGUGAGUGAUGAAGGCCCUAGGGUUGUAAAGCUCUUUUGUGCGGGAAGAUAAUGACGGUACCGCAAGAAUAAGCCCCGGCUAACUUCGUGCCAGCAGCCGCGGUAAUACGAAGGGGGCUAGCGUUGCUCGGAAUCACUGGGCGUAAAGGGUGCGUAGAGCGGGUCUUUCAAGUCAGGAGUGAAAUCCUGGAGCUCAAUCCAGAACUGCCUUUGAUACUGAAGAUCUUGAGUUCGGGAGAGGUGAGUGGAACUGCGAGUGUA
rnacentral:rRNA from 1 species